AAGCUGUCUAGUUCACAGAGGAUGGAAUUUAACAUUGAUUUAACACCUGAAAUAUACAAUAGUUCAACUCGCACUUUUGGAGAUGACUUCGCAGAGAGUCUGGCCUAGAUCCAUUGGCAAACGUUUAUUUCCUGAUAAACUAGAGAUGAUUCUGGAGAAAAAGCCCUUGUGAGCGUUCUUCUCUGAUGAAGCGAUGGUGAUAGUCUUGUCACUGGAGGAAACUGGUGCACCACAAGAUAAACUAGAGAUGAUUCUGGAGAAAAAGCCCUUGUGAGCGUUCUUCUCUGAUGAAGCGAUGGUGAUAGUCUUGUCACUGGAGGAAACUGGUGCACCACAAGGUAAGCACUCUGCACAUAGGACAGCUACAAAACACAAAAGUUAUGAUCACUUUAUACAU